CCGGUUGAUCCUGCCGGACCUGACUGCUAUCGGAUUGAUACUAAGCCAUGUGAGUCAUUGUAGCAAUACAAGGCAGACGGCUCAGUAACACGUAGUCAAUCUACCCUAUGGACGGGGAUAACCUCGGGAAACUGAGGAUAACACCCGAUAGAUCAUAAUUCCUGGAAUGGUUUAUGGUCCAAACGAUUCGUCGCCGUAGGAUGGGACUGCGGCCUAUCAGCUUGUUGGUGAGGUAAUGGCCCACCAAGGCUAUUACAGGUACGGGCUCUGAGAGGAGAAGCCCGGAGAUGGGUACUGAGACACGGACCCAGGCCCUAUGGGGCGCAGCAGGCGAGAAACCUUUGCAAUGUGCGCAAGCACGACAAGGUUAAUCCGAGUGUUUCCUGCUAAAGGAAUCUUUUGUUAGUUGUAAAACCACUAUCGAAUAAGGGGUGGGCAAGUUCUGGUGUCAGCCGCCGCGGUAAAACCAGCACCUCAAGUGGUCAGGAGGAUUAUUGGGCCUAAAGCAUCCGUAGCCUGUUCUAUAAGUUUCCGGUUAAAUCCACUAGCUCAACUAGUGGGCUGCCGAAAAUACUGUAGAACUAGGGAGUGGGAGAGGUAGACGGUAUUCGGUAGGAAGGGGUAAAAUCCUUUGAUCUAUUGAGGACCACCUGCGGCGAAGGCGGUCUACCAGAACACG
rnacentral:rRNA from 1 species